CUACGGGAGGCAGCAGUGGGGAAUAUUGGACAAUGGGCGAAAGCCUGAUCCAGCCAUGCCGCGUGAGUGAUGAAGGCCUUAGGGUUGUAAAGCUCUUUUAGUGGGGAAGAUAAUGACGGUACCCACAGAAAAAGCCCCGGCUAACUUCGUGCCAGCAGCCGCGGUAAUACGAAGGGGGCUAGCGUUGUUCGGAUUUACUGGGCGUAAAGCGCACGUAGGCGGAUCGUUAAGUCGGGGGUGAAAUCCUGGAGCUCAACUCCAGAACUGCCUUCGAUACUGGCGAUCUUGAGUCCGGAAGAGGUGAGUGGAACUCCUAGUGUAGAGGUGGAAUUCGUAGAUAUUAGGAAGAACACCAGUGGCGAAGGCGGCUCACUGGUCCGGUACUGACGCUGAGGUGCGAAAGCGUGGGGAGCAAACAGGAUUAGAACCCCCUGUAGUCC
rnacentral:rRNA from 1 species